rnacentral:rRNA from 1 species
CUUCCAUCGUUGUGGAAAGUAACCAAGUUUGGUGAUGGCAUUAAAGAGCUUGGUUAUGUAGCGAACUGCAGAAUGUGGCAGCUGGAUGAUCAUUUCCGGUGUUAUAAGGUCGCAGCCGGGGGAUUUUUUCGGGCUGAGAUUGUCUUUGAUUAUUUUAGUUACUUCUUUAGGGCGAAACACAAUUGGGGUGUGUUGCUGGUGGCAGUUUACGGGAUAGGACGGUAGCGCGAAUGUGCUAGUAGCCUGGUUUGGCGUGAACACAUUUUGUAGGUGAGCGGCAAAUGUGGUGGCUCUGUCUUCAUCACUACGGGCCCAGCCACCUGAGGAAUUCCUUAUCGGCAAAACGGUUUCAGUCGGUGGGCGAAGAGUUGAGAGGGCUCGCCACAGUGACUUUUGUUUUGUGCCUGUUGGUGUGAGUUGCUCUAUGUAUCGGCGCUGAUCGUCGUCCUCUUCUUGUUUCAGAGCGUUGGCCAGUUUCCGUGUGGCUACUUUUAGCUUUUGUUUUGCAGUUGGGGAUCUGGAGGAUUGCCAUUCUCUGCGUAAGCGUCGUUUUACGUGGACGAGUUGCUCGAUUUGUACGUUGGUCUUUUUUGAAUUAAUUGUAUUAUUUGUUAUUUUGGGCGUUGCAGUAAGAGCUGCUGCAGUAAGGAUGGAUUGCAAUGCACACGUGCAGCUCUCUAUAUCAGAUUCAGUAUUGAGUUUUGGGUUUAGCUCAAUAUGUGAACUUAUAUAUUUUUUAUACCUGAGCCAGUUUGUUUUGUGGGAAGUCAGUCUGGAUGGUGGUUUAACGUUUUCUGCGUGCCGGCGGAGGUGAAUUAGUACAGGCGAGUGGUCAGAUGACAGAUCCGGCAGACAUUCAGCUUUAACCAAACUGCGGGAAAUAUUUUUCGUAACUGCGAAGUCGAUCAGGUCAGGCAGCUUAUUGAGGUCUGAUGGCCAGUAUGUAGGACUCCCGGGGGAAACAUGGUCGAGUUUAUUAGUGGCUUUAAUUAUAGUCUUAUAAAGCUGUUUUCCUUUUGGGUUCACAAGUCGCGAUCCCCAGUGAGUGUGUUUAGCGUUGUAGUCGCCUGCUGCAAUGAAGUGUGGCCCUAGUGCUUGGAAGAAAUCCAGGAAUUGAUCUUCUAAUACUGUGAAACGGGGGGGGCAGUAUACGGCCGCUAGUGUAAGGAGAGUGUUGUCUUCCAGCUGAAUGUUGAUGGAUGUGGCCUGAAGAUGAUUUUCCGCAAAUUCUUUGUAAAAGUGGUGCUUCAUACGGUUCCUUAUGAGUAUGGCGGUGCCACCGUGUGCUUUUCCGUCGGGAUGAUUUGUACCGUAGAAAUGGUAGUCUCUUAUUUGGAAAUUGUAUUUGCUUGUGAGAUGAGUUUCCGAAAGAAGCAUAACGUCGAUAUGCUUCUCAUGUAGGAAUUGAGCUAGCUCAAGUUUGCGCUGUGAGACGCCAUUGGCGUUCCACGUAGCUAUGCGUAAGGUAGCCAUUGUUUAUUUGUUUUGUUGGGCUACAAGCAUUUGUAUCAAAAGGUUUUGAUUACGCAUCAUGUCUUGGAUGGUGGUCUUCAUGAAUGUCAUAAAUUCCAUCAUGCUCUGUUGUAAGGCUUGGAUCAUAGCUUCAGUUUUUGUUUCCUGCUGCGCAGCUGGGCUAUAGUUUUGUUGUGUGUCUAAUUUUGUGUACACUUCAUGUGGAGUUCGGGAAUUUUGGGUUGGAGGCGUCAUACCUGAUUUUAAAACGUUUGCAAAUGUUGUCUUGUUAGUGUUGGAUGUAGGCCAGGGAGCGAAACUUGCUGCUUUCGAGAAAAUUACUUCAGGAUUUGUCUCUGAUGGUAUCAGCGUAGCUGUUCCUUGGUGUGCCCGCGCCGUGUUCAUUCUUUUGUGAAGACGGGUUUUCAGCUCUUUGUAGAUUGGACAGCCUCUGUAGUUUGCUGUGUGAUUGCCCCCACAGUUAUUGCAUUUUUUCUCACAUGCAUUUUUUUUGUUAGUUUGACACUGUUUGGAGUCGUGGAGAUCUCCACAGACUACGCACACCGGGCGAAGUGUACAAUACGACCUUGUGUGGCCGUACUCUUGGCAGUUUGUACAUUGUACGUAGCCCAAUUGUGGAACUUUCUUGCUAAAAUUUUUAGAAUACUAUUUGGGUUAAACCAAUUAGUUCUAUCAAUUAUACGAUAUCAAUUACAAUCAAUUCAGAACUGGCACGGACUUGGGGAUCCGACUGUCUAAUUAAAACAAAGCAUUGUGAUGGCCCUAGCGGGUGUUGACACAAUGUGAUUUCUGCCCAGUGCUCUGAAUGUCAAAGUGAAGAAAUUCAAGUAAGCGCGGGUCAACGGCGGGAGUAACUAUGACUCUCUUAAGGUAGCCAAAUGCCUCGUCAUCUAAUUAGUGACGCGCAUGAAUGGAUUAACGAGAUUCCUACUGUCCCUAUCUACUAUCUAGCGAAACCACAGCCAAGGGAACGGGCUUGGAAUAAUUAGCGGGGAAAGAAGACCCUUUUGAGCUUGACUCUAAUCUGGCAGUGUAAGGAGACAUAAGAGGUGUAGAAUAAGUGGGAGAUAUUAGACCUCGGUUUGGUAUCGUCAAUGAAAUACCACUACUCUUAUUGUUUCCUUACUUACUUGAUUAAAUGGAACGUGUAUCAUUUCCUAGCCAUUAUACGGAUAUAUUUAUUAUAUCUUAUGGUAUUGGGUUUUGAUGCAAGCUUCUUGAUCAAAGUAUCACGAGUUUGUUAUAUAAUCGCAAACAAAUUCUUUAAUAAAACGAUGCAUUUAUGUAUUUUUGAUUUGAAAAUUUGGUAUAACUCCAAUUACUCAGGUAUGAUCCAAUUCAAGGACAUUGCCAGGUAGGGAGUUUGACUGGGGCGGUACAUCUCUCAAAUAAUAAAGGAGGUGUCCCAAGGCCAGCUCAGUGCGGACAGAAACCACACAUAGAGCAAAAGGGCAAAUGCUGACUUGAUCUCGGUGUUCAGUACACACAGGGACAGCAAAAGCUCGGCCUAUCGAUCCUUUUGGUUUAAAGAGUUUUUAACAAGAGGUGUCAGAAAAGUUACCAUAGGGAUAACUGGCUCGUGGCGGCCAAGCGUUCAAAAAGACGUCGCUUUUUGAUCCUUCGAUGUCGGCUCUUCCUCAACAUUGUGAAGCAAAAUUC